GGUCCCAUAGCUCAGUUGGUUAGAGCGUCGUACUAAUAUCGCGACAUUCGCCAUAUUAAGUCCAUGCGAAGGCCGAGAGUUCGAGCCUCUCUGGGACCA